rnacentral:lncRNA from 1 species
AUUCUUUUCUUUUUUGUGUGUGGAUGUGGCUAUUCCAAUGUGUAUAUAUAAUAUAAUUCAGCCAGAGGAGCCACUUUUUCUCUGCCAAUUUCCCCGACUUGUGGUUGCGUGUAAAUGUAUAUGUACUUAUUCCCUCCACAGUCGCCAAAUUGCAUGAGACUUGAGAUGUAUAUUAUAUAAUUCAGCCCCAAUGUUUUUGUCUCCAACCGCGGGCAAGCCCUUUGUCUUUUUGUGUGUUUUCUCCUCUCCGGAAUUCUGUGUGUAUUGUAUAUAUAUAUUACCAGCAGUAGGCCCUCUUUAUUUCACAAAAGGAACUCCCCUUUUUUUCCCAAUUGCCGUCUCUCCCUGUGUAUACAUAUAUUUUCCCCAAAUGCCCAAGCAGUCCACUUCUAUUCUGUUAGGAAUUUUUACUUUCUUUUGUGUAGUUGUGUGAAAGUGGCCAAUCAAUCAAACAAAAACAGUAAAGAACACCAAAUCUUGGUCACCCAGUUCGGCCAAAUGCCUAAUCUGGAGGCCUCAGAGGCAAACACGUUCACUAUGUGCAAAGUAACCCUUCAAGAGACAGUGACAACAAUGAAAAAACCACAGACACCGGGUUUGAUCAUUGAUCCAAAGGAUCUCACACAAAUCAACCCUUAAUCAACCAAAGCACAAACACUCAAACUGCUGACCAAAACCAGAUACAACAAACGGCAAAAACAACCGGCCAAAGUUACUGUACCAGGAAGUCUUUCACAUCACACUUCUAAAUAUACAAUGAUUCUAUGAAAAACCACAAGAAUAAAAAAACCCAAAAGAAGAAGGAGAUGAAGUUUUCUCGAAGAGAACUCAAAGCCCAGAGAGAGAAAAACUUUGAAGUAAAAAACGUGUCUUACUGAAAAGCCAAUGGACCAUCCCUUGAUAAACACAAUUGAAAAAUCAGAUUGCAUUUCAACCAUAGAUCUGUUAUGGAUGGCCAGGAUGUGUUUCAAAGAAGCACAACUCGCGUGAAGCUCGACUGGCCAAUUGGGGGUUGCCACUUGGGCCGUCCACUUCCAAAAGACCCAUUUGCCCUUAAUAUAGUUGUCAAUGAAUUGAGAAACACGUUUUUACAAUCUUCACCUUGGUUCUCAAAUCAUCUACUGUCUCUAGUAUGCUAACGUUUGCACAUAAGAACUAACUUUGCCCUACAUCAUUGCCAUUGGUACCUGCAAAAAAUUCAACCUGUAUCAAUAUGGAGAAUAGACAAACAUAAUCUAAACUUAUUAACAGAUAAAAUUUUCGUUCCCAUAUCAGAUGGGUUUUCAUCAGUGUGAAUUUUCUUAAGAUUCACAUCACCAGAAUAUAUCUUUUCCCUUAUGAAGUGAUACUACUUCAUCUCAAUGUGUUUAGACCUCUCAUGAUACACUGGGUUCUUACUCAAUAAUAAAGCACUCUGGCUGUCAGUAAGAAUUGUUGGGGUUUCUUGCAGAAAAUUUAUCUCAAUUAAGAUUCCUUUUAGCCAGAAACACUCUUUCACAGAUUCAGUGAUGGUUACAUAUUUUGCCUCAGUACUAGAUAAAGUGACUAUUGGUUGUAACU